rnacentral:rRNA from 1 species
AUUGAACGCUGGCGGCAUGCUUUACACAUGCAAGUCGAACGGUAACAGGCCGCAAGGUGCUGACGAGUGGCGAACGGGUGAGUAAUGCAUCGGAACGUGCCCAGUCGUGGGGGAUAACUACUCGAAAGAGUAGCUAAUACCGCAUACGAUCUAUGGAUGAAAGCGGGGGACCGUAAGGCCUCGCGCGAUUGGAGCGGCCGAUGUCAGAUUAGGUAGUUGGUGGGGUAAAGGCUCACCAAGCCAACGAUCUGUAGCUGGUCUGAGAGGACGACCAGCCACACUGGGACUUGGGAACGGGCCCGAACCCUACGGGAGGCCGCAGUGGGGAAUUUUGGACAAUGGGCGCAAGCCUGAUCCAGCAAUGCCGCGUGCAGGAAGAAGGCCUUCGGGUUGCAAACUGCUUUUGUACGGAACGAAACGGCUCUGGUUAAUACCCGGGGCUAAUGACGGUACCGUAAGAAUAAGCACCGGCUAACUACGUG